rnacentral:rRNA from 1 species
GAUUAACGCCGGCGGCGUGCCUAACACAUGCAAGUCGAGCGGCAGCGAGUUUUACACUGAAUUCUGGAAGCUUCUAGUUGAAAGAGAAGAUUUAUUCAAGAAUUUUGUGUAAAAUGUCGGCGAGCGGCGGACGGCUGAGUAACGCGUGGGAACGUACCCCAAAGUGAGGGAUAACGCAUCGAAAGGUGUGCUAAUACCGCAUAUGGUCUUCGGAUUAAAGCCUUCGGGCGCUUUGGGAACGGCCUGCGUAAGAUUAGAUAGUUGGUGGGGUAAUGGCCUACCAAGUCGGCGAUCUUUAACUGGUUUGAGAGGAUGAUCAGUCAGACUGGAACUGAGACACGGUCCAGACUCCUACGGGAGGCAGCAGUGUGGAAUCUUCCACAAUGGGCGAAAGCCUGAUGGAGCAACGCCGCGUGCAGGAUGAAGGCCUUCGGGUUGUAAACUGCUUUUAUAAGUGAGGAUUAUGACAGUAACUUAUGAAUAAGGAUCGGCUAACUACGUG